AAGGGUAAAUGGCGAAGUUUUUCUGGUAUCCCCGUCCAUUAUUAAUUAGCGAGCCAUUUGAGAUGUGCUCAGUGAAAGUAUGAACAAACUAGGAGAAAGGUGAAAACGUUUCUUUCUUAUUGAUUUUCCCCUAGAGUUCCUGUUACAUAGAACAUUCAUAUUUAUAUGCUAAACACUAGGGUUUUCAUCUCAUGUGUCUUCAGGAUCUAAUGGCUGGAAUCGAUUGUGCACCGGGACCAGCUGAGCUGUAGACAUCUUCUUCUUCCCGUACACUUCAUGUGCUUUCUCCAGCUGUGUUGCAGAAGACCGUUGAAGUGUUUCUUCAGUUUUGGGCUUCUGCUCACUUGUGGGCUUUGAUUCAGAUGUGGGCUUGAGCUGAGAAGACCCAAAUAAUGGGUUUGCUCUAAUA
rnacentral:lncRNA from 1 species